rnacentral:rRNA from 1 species
UGGGGAAUUUUGGACAAUGGGCGAAAGCCUGAUCCAGCAAUGCCGCGUGUGUGAAGAAGGCCUUCGGGUUGUAAAGCACUUUUGUCCGGAAAGAAAUCCUCUGGGUUAAUACCUCGGGGGGAUGACGGUACCGGAAGAAUAAGCACCGGCUAACUACGUGCCAGCAGCCGCGGUAAUACGUAGGGUACAAGCGUUAAUCGGAAUUACUGGGCGUAAAGCGUGCGCAGGCGGUUUUGUAAGACGGAUGUGAAAUCCCCGGGCUUAACCUGGGAACUGCAUUCGUGACUGCAAGGCUAGAGUAUGGCAGAGGGGGGUAGAAUUCCACGUGUGGCAGUGAAAUGCGUAGAGAUGUGGAGGAAUACCGAUGGCGAAGGCAGCCCCCUGGGCCAAUACUGACGCUCAUGCACGAAAGCGUGGGGAGCAAACAGGAUUAGAUACCCUGGUAGUCCACGCCCUAAACGAUGUCAACUAGUUGUUGGGGAUUCAUUUCCUUAGUAACGUAGCUAACGCGUGAAGUUGACCGCCUGGGGAGUACGGUCGCAAGAUUAAAA